ACAAAUUCCAAACACUCGUCUUUGCCUGAGGGUGAGGGUCCCUGGGACUUCGGUCCCUAGAUCCGAGCCCGCAGGUCAUAUGACAAACAUUCACAUUCACAAUUGACAACAUCAGGAUUUCCACAACUUAAUCGUUAAAA
rnacentral:misc_RNA from 1 species